rnacentral:rRNA from 1 species
GACAGAGGGGGCAAGCGUUGCUCGGAAUCACUGGGCGUAAAGGGCGCGUAGGCGGGAUGGCAAGUCAGUCGUGAAAUCUCUCGGCUCAACCGAGAAACGUCGGCUGAUACUGCCGUUCUUGAGGGAUGCAGAGGAGACUGGAAUUCCCGGUGUAGCGGUGAAAUGUGUAGAGAUCGGGAGGAACACCGGUGGCGAAGGCGGGUCUCUGUGCAGUAACUGACGCUGAGGAGCGAAAGCGUGGGGAGCGAACAGG